CCCUUAGAUGUUCUGGGCCGCACGCGUGCUACACUGAUGCAUUCAACGAGUCUAAAACCUGGUCUGAUAGGGCUGGGUAAUCUUUUGAAAGUGCAUCGUGAUUGGGAUAGAUGAUUGCAAUUCUUCAUCUUCAACGAGGAAUGCCUAGUAAACGCAAGUCAUCAGCUUGCAUUGAUUACGUCCCUGCCCUUUGUACACACCGCCCGUCGCUCCUACUGAUUGAGUGUCUCGGUGAAUUCUUUGAUCUUCUGUCGAUUCAGUUCACUGAUCCGACGGUGGAAAGUUGAAUGAACUUCGUCACUUAGAGGAAGGAGAAGUCGUAACA
rnacentral:rRNA from 1 species